AGAGUUUGAUCCUGGCUCAGAUUGAACGCUGGCGGUAUGCUUAACACAUGCAAGUCGAACGGAAACGAUGGCAGCUUGCUACCAGGCGUCGAGUGGCGGACGGGUGAGUAACGCGUAGGAAUCUGCCUGAUAGUGGGGGAUAGCCCAGAGAAAUCUGGAUUAAUACCGCAUAAUCUCUAUGGAGUAAAGGAGCCCUCUUCUUGAAAGGUUUCGCUAUCAGAUGAGCCUGCGUAAGAUUAGCUUGUUGGUGAGGUGAAAGCUCACCAAGGCGACGAUCUUUAGCUGGUCUGAGAGGAUGAUCAGCCACACUGGAACUGAGACACGGUCCAGACUCCUACGGGAGGCAGCAGUGGGGAAUAUUGGACAAUGGGCGCAAGCCUGAUCCAGCAAUACCGCGUGUGUGAAGAAGGCCUGAGGGUUGUAAAGCACUUUCAAUUGUGAAGAAAAGCUAAUGGCUAAUACCCAUUAGCCUUGACGUUAACUUUAGAAGAAGCACCGGCUAACUCCGUGCCAGCAGCCGCGGUAAUACGGAGGGUACAAGCGUUAAUCGGAAUUACUGGGCGUAAAGCGUGCGUAGGUGGUUUGUUAAGUUAGAUGUGAAAGCCCUGGGCUCAACCUAGGAACUGCAUUUAAAACUGGCAAACUAGAGUAUAGGAGAGGAAAGUGGAAUCUCAGGUGUAGCGGUGAAAUGCGUAGAUAUCUGAAGGAACAU
rnacentral:rRNA from 1 species